rnacentral:rRNA from 1 species
GCUUGCGGCCAUACCAGCCUGGGUACGCCCGAUCUCGUCUGAUCUCGGAAGCUAAGCAGGGUCGGGCCUGGUUAGUACUUGGAUGGGAGACCGCCUGGGAAUACCAGGUGCUGUAAGCA